rnacentral:rRNA from 1 species
AUACGUAGGUGGCAAGCGUUGUCCGGAAUUAUUGGGCGUGAAGGGCGUGUAGGUGGAUGUUUAAGUCGUGUGUCUAAGUGCGGGGCUCAACCCCGUAUAGGCGCAGGAAACUGGAGAUCUUGAGUGCAGGAGAGGAAAGUGGAAUUCCCAGUGUAGCGGUGAAAUGCGUAGAUAUUGGGAGGAACACCAGUGGCGAAAGCGACUUUCUGGACUGUGUCUGACACUGAAGCGCGAAAGCCAGGGGAGC